rnacentral:rRNA from 1 species
UACGUAGGGGGCGAGCGUUGUCCGGAGUACUGGGCGUAAAGCGCACGCAGGCGGUCUGUUAAGUUUGGAGUGACAGUUGGUGGCUCAACCACCAAAGUGCUUUGAAAACUGAUAGACUUGAGGGCUUCAGAGGGACACGGAAUUCCUGGUGUAGCGGUGAAAUGCGCAGAUAUCAGGAGGAACACCGAUGGCGAAGGCAGGUCUCUGGGCCACUACUGACGCUGAGAAGCGAAAGCGUGGGGAGCGAACAGG